ACUGAAAUAUCGGUUCCCGUACGAUCACCGAAGUUAAGCAACAUCGAAUCUGCUCAGUACCUAAAAGGGUGGCCACUUGGGAAUACCAGCUGCUGUAAG